AAUAAGUGUAGCAAACAUUAAUUUGUUAUAACUGAGAUAUUUACCGCAAAGAAGAAGCACAGGCUCUGGGGAGAAGGUGGAGUCAGCCGAAGUCCUCUCCUGAAUCUGAGCCACAGAUCACAGUCUUGUCAUAUGUGAUUUCUGGAUCUCCAUCUCUACUCGCCCCCACAGUCAGUAGCAUGCUGGGUUUGCAGUUGAAUUCUCAGGAUGCAGAAAACAGACAUGCAGCCCUCUAUAAUCUACUGUGAAGGUGUCUCAUCCACCCAUCUCUUCAUGGCAAACCCAUUUAUUGUGACUCUGCCAGACAGUUCAACAAUUCUAGCUCUGUUAACCACCCUGGUUUCAUUUUAAUGUCAACACCACUGCCCAGGACAUGGGAGUCUAGAAUUGAACCCAUUUGGCAGGAAAUGGGAUAAUGGAAGGAUUGUUCCAUAGAGCAUCACUACUACAACUAACUAUAAAUAAAGAUGAAUGGUUUCACCAGCUCAAAGGACU